rnacentral:rRNA from 1 species
GGUGGUGCAUGGCUGUCGUCAGCUCGUGUCGUGAGGUGUUGGGUUAAGUCCCGCAACGAGCGCAACCCCUAUGUUUAGUUGCCAGCACGUAAUGGUGGGGACUCUAGACAGACUGCCUGCGCAAGCAGUGAGGAAGGCGGGGACGACGUCAGGUCAUCAUGGCCCUUACGCCUAGGGCGACACACGUGCUACAAUGGACGGUACAGCGGGUAGCUACUGGGCGACCAGAUGCCAAUCUCGAAAAGCCGUUCUCAGUUCGGAUCGGAGUCUGCAACUCGACUCCGUGAAGCUGGAAUCACUAGUAAUCGCGCAUCAGCCAUGGCGCGGUGAAUACGUUCCCGGGCCUUGUACACACCGCCCGUCAAGCCAUGAAAGUCUGGUAGACCUGAAGCUGGUGCUCCGCAACGAAGCCAGUUAGGGAGUGAUAUGAGUACAGA